GAUGAACGCUGGCGGCGUGCCUAAUACAUGCAAGUCGAGCGAACAGACGAGGAGCUUGCUCCUCUGACGUUAGCGGCGGACGGGUGAGUAACACGUGGAUAACCUACCUAUAAGACUGGGAUAACUUCGGGAAGCCGGAGCUAAUACCGGAUAAUAUAUUGAACCGCAUGGUUCAAUAGUGAAAGACGGUUUUGCUGUCACUUAUAGAUGGAUCCGCGCCGCAUUAGCUAGUUGGUAAGGUAACGACUUACCAAGGCAACGAUGCGUAGCCGACCUGAGAGGGUGAUCGGCCACACUGGAACUGAGACACGGUCCAGACUCCUACGGGAGGCAGCAGUAGGGAAUCUUCCGCAAUGGGCGAAAGCCUGACGGAGCAACGCCGCGUGAGUGAUGAAGGUCUUCGGAUCGUAAAACUCUGUUAUUAGGGAAGAACAAAUGUGUAAGUAACUAUGCACGUCUUGACGGUACCUAAUCAGAAAGCCACGGCUAACUACGUG
rnacentral:rRNA from 1 species